rnacentral:rRNA from 1 species
CCCUUAGAUGUUCUGGGCCGCACGCGCGCUACACUGACGAAGUCAGCGAGCAUGUCCUACGCCGACAGGUGCGGGGAAUCUUGUCAAACUUCGUCGUGAUGGGGAUUGAUUAUUGAAAUUCUUGAUCAUCAACGAGGAAUUCCUAGUAAGCGCAAGCCAGCAGCUUGCGUUGAUUACGUCCCUGCCCUUUGUACACACCGCCCGUCGCUACUACCGAUUGAAUGGUUUAGUGAGAUCUUCGGAUUGGUGCCACUGCGGCUCAGCAAUGGGCUCGGUGGAUGCCGAAAAGUUGAUCAAACUUGAUCAUUUAGAGGAAGUAAAAGUCGUAACA